rnacentral:SRP_RNA from 1 species
GCCGUGUGUGGUGGCACACGUCUGUAGUCCCAGCUACUUUGGAGGCUGAGUCAGGCGGAUCACUUGAGCCCAGGAGUUCUGGGCUAUUGUGAAGUAUGUGAUGGGGCGUCUGCACUAAGUUUGGCAUCAAUAUGGUGACGUUUUGGGAGCAGGGGACCACCAGGUUGCCUAAGGUGUCUGAGGACGGGUUUCCAGGUUGGAAACGGAGCAGCUCGACACUCCCGAGCUGAUCGGUGGUGCGACUGUUCCUGUGAGUAGCCGCUGCACUCCAGCUUGGGCAGCAUAGUGAGACCCCACUUCU